UACGUAGGGGGCUAGCGUUAUCCGGAAUUACUGGGCGUAAAGGGUGCGUAGGUGGUUUCUUAAGUCAGAGGUGAAAGGCUACGGCUCAACCGUAGUAAGCCUUUGAAACUGGGAAACUUGAGUGCAGGAGAGGAGAGUGGAAUUCCUAGUGUAGCGGUGAAAUGCGUAGAUAUUAGGAGGAACACCAGUAGCGAAGGCGGCUCUCUGGUCUGUAACUGACACUGAGGCGCGAAAGCGUGGGGAGCAAACAGGAUUAGAUACCCCCGUAGUCCCUGAGCGGGCU
rnacentral:rRNA from 1 species